UACGUAGGCAGCGAGCGUUGUUCGGAAUUACUGGGCGUAAAGAGUGUGUAGGCGGUGCUCUAAGUUCGGUGUGAAAUCUCCUGGCUCAACUGGGAGGGUGCGCCGGAAACUGGAGUGCUUGAGCGUGGGAGAGGAAAGCGGAAUUCCUGGUGUAGCGGUGAAAUGCGUAGAUAUUGCUCGGAAGGCCAACGGCGAAGGCAGGUUACUGGUACGCAACUGACGCUGAGGCACGAAAGCGUGGGGAGCAAACAGG
rnacentral:rRNA from 1 species